GCCGGGCGUGGUAGCACGUGCCUGUAGUCUCAGCUACUCGGGAGGCUGGGAUGGGAGGAUCGCUUGAGCCCAGGAGUUCUGGGCUGUAGUGUGCUAUGCUGAUUGAGUAUCUGCACUAACUUCGGCAUCAACAUGGUGACUUCCUGGGAGCGGGGGAUCGCCAGGUUGCCUAAGGAGGAGUGAACUGGCCCAGGUCGGAAAUGGAGCAGGUCAAAACUCCUGUGCUGAUCAGUAGUGGGAUCGAACCUGUGAACAGCCACUGCACUCCAGCCUGGGCAACAUAGUGAGACCCCAUCUCUA
rnacentral:SRP_RNA from 1 species